UACGGAGGGUGCGAGCGUUGUCCGGAAUCACUGGGCGUAAAGGGCGCGUAGGCGGUCUGCUAAGCGUGUGGUGAAAGCUCGGGGCUCAACCCCGAGUCGGCCAUGCGAACUGGUGGACUCGAGCACUGUAGAGGCAGGUGGAAUUCCGGGUGUAGCGGUGGAAUGCGUAGAGAUCCGGAAGAACACCGGUGGCGAAGGCGGCUUCCUGGCUUAAAACUGACACUGUGGCGCGAAAGCGUGGGUAGCAAACAGG
rnacentral:rRNA from 1 species